rnacentral:rRNA from 1 species
AACGAACGCUGCCUGUAUGCCUAACACAUGCAAGUCGAACUAUAUCUCCGUUUUUAGUUGCUCUUACGUGCGUUCCGUGUUGGAAUCUUCCCUUAGUCACGUGUUUCUUCUUUGUCCUUGUUGCUCAUUUCGGAUAACUUACUCUGAUCAAAGAUUUAUCCCCCUUGUAUGUGCCCGUGUUGGAUUACCUAGGUGGUAGGGUAAAAGCCUACCAAGGCGACGAUCCAUAGCUGGUUUGAGAGGAUGAUCAGCCACACUGGGACGGAGACACGGCCCAGACUCCUACGGGAAGCAGCAGUGGGGAAUACUGGACAAUGGGCGAAAGCCUGAUCCAGCAAUGCCGCGUGAGUGAUGAAGGCCUUAGGGUUGUAAAGCUCUUUUACCCGGGAUGAUAAUGACAGUACCGGGAGAAUAAGCUCCGGCUAACUCCGUG